rnacentral:misc_RNA from 1 species
UACGGAGGGGGCUAGCGUUGUUCGGAAUUACUGGGCGUAAAGCGCGCGUAGGCGGAUCAGCCAGUCAGAGGUGAAAGCCCAGGGCUCAACCCUGGAACUGCCUUUGAUACUGUUGAUCUGGAGUCCGGGAGAGGUGUGUGGAAUUCCGAGUGUAGAGGUGAAAUUCGUAGAUAUUCGGAGGAACACCAGAGGCGAAGGCGACACACUGGACCGGUACUGACGCUGAGGCGCGAAAGCGUGGGGAGCAAACAGG